rnacentral:rRNA from 1 species
AACGAACGUUGGCGGCGUGCCUAACACAUGCAAGUCGAACGAAUGUAGCAAUACAUUAGUGGCGCACGGGUGAGUAACACGCGGGAAUCUGCCUCAUAGUUCGGAAUAACACCGGGAAACUGGUGCUAAUACCGGAUACGCCCUUCGGGGGAAAGUUUUUCGCUAUGAGAUGAGCCCGCGUUGGAUUAGCUAGUUGGUGAGGUAAUGGCUCACCAAGGCGACGAUCCAUAGCUGAUCUUAGAGGAUGAUCAGCCACACUGGGACUGAGACACGGCCCAGACUCCUACGGGAGGCAGCAGUGGGGAAUAUUGGACAAUGGGGGAAACCCUGAUCCAGCAACGCCGCGUGGAUGAUGAAGGUCUUCGGAUUGUAAAGUCCUUUUGGCGGGGACGAUGAUGACGGUACCCGCAGAAUAAGCUCCGGCUAACUUCGUGCCAGCCGCCGCAGUAA